rnacentral:rRNA from 1 species
UACGGGGGAUGCAAGCGUUAUCCGGAUUUAUUGGGUUUAAGGGUGCGUAGGCUGUGAGGUAAGUCAGCGGUGAAAUGCCCCCGCUCAACGGGGUGAAGUGCCAUUGAUACUGCCUUGCUGGAAUGCGGAUGCCGUGGGAGGAAUGUGUGGUGUAGCGGUGAAAUGCAUAGAUAUCACACAGAACACCGAUUGCGAAGGCAUCUCACGAAUCCGCUAUUGACGCUGAUGCACGAAAGCGUGGGUAUCAAACAGG